AGCGAACGCUGGCGGCAGGCCUAACACAUGCAAGUCGAACGGAUCCUUCGGGAUUAGUGGCGGACGGGUGAGUAACACGUGGGAACGUGCCCUUUGGUUCGGAACAACUCAGGGAAACUUGAGCUAAUACCGGAUGUGCCCUUCGGGGGAAAGAUUUAUCGCCAUUGGAGCGGCCCGCGUCUGAUUAGCUAGUUGGUGAGGUAAUGGCCCACCAAGGCGACGAUCAGUAGCUGGUCUGAGAGGAUGAUCAGCCACACUGGGACUGAGACACGGCCCAGACUCCUACGGGAGGCAGCAGUGGGGAAUCUUGCGCAAUGGGCGAAAGCCUGACGCAGCCAUGCCGCGUGAAUGAUGAAGGUCUUAGGAUUGUAAAAUUCUUUCAGCGGGGACGAUAAUGACGGUACCCGCAGAAGAAGCUCCGGCUAACUUCGUG
rnacentral:rRNA from 1 species